rnacentral:misc_RNA from 1 species
GAUGAAGAACGUAGCGAAAUGCGAUACGUAAUGUGAAUUGCAGAAUUCAGUGAAUCAUCGAAUCUUUGAACGCAUAUUGCGCUCUUUGGUAUUCCGAAGAGCAUGCUUGUUUGAGUAUCAGUAAACACCUCAACCUCUUCUUGAUUUUUCAAAAGGAGGGUGGACUUGAGCUAUCCCAACAACCUUUACCGGUCGGCGGGCGGCUUGAAAUGCAGGUGCAGCUGGACUUUUAUCUGAGCUAAAAGCAUAUCUAUUUAGUCCUCGUCAAACAGGAUUAUUACUUUUGCUGCAGCUAACAUAAAGGAUAAUUGUCCUCUUUGCUGNCUGAUGCAGGAUUUUACGACACUUUAUGUGUUGUUCAACUCGAUCUCAAAUCAAGUAAGACUACCCGCUGAACUUAAGCAUAUCAAUAAGCGGAGGA